AACUUGGGCAUUUAGGCCAAACCUGUUUUACUGCUAUUCAAAGUAGUUGCUUUCCAGUGUUCAUGCAUAUGGCCAACUUCCCUUUCAUUCAGUAAAGUACUGUGUAGCAAUUAAAAAUAUUACAACAUCUUUAGGCUUUUUCUUGGUCUCUACAUAUUAUUCCUCUGUGCAAAGGUCUCUGUAAUGUCUUUAGGGAUUUCUGGAGAUUUUUUUUUUUAUAGGUCUAUAGUCUAAGCUGCCAUAUGAAUCUUUUAUUUUAUAUAUAAACACCACUAUUUACCAUAAAGAGCUCAACAACUAAAGUAGUACUUGCUGCAUGCCCUUGAGAGGCAAUCUUUGCUGCUUGGCUCAGUUCUUCAGAGCACACGUGUUCUUCCUUCUUUGCAAUGUUUUUGUGUCCAUAAAGGGCAAGAAAGGAUGUGUUUAUUUUUACCCAUUUAGAAAGGGAUAAAGCUUAGAUCAGAUCUGGGACUCAAGUUCAGCACUUGAGUAGCAACACUUACAAAGGCGGAUCGAGACAAGUGAAAUUGGAUUUUGUUAUCUUGUGUUAAAGGCUCUGGCAUGCUCAUAUCUUUAAAGCAUUAAAAGCUAAAUGUCCUCAGAUUCAAUAUCCUUUAGGCAGGAGAAAUGCUAAUGUGAAUGUUAGCUACAAGCCUAUUUUCCUAUGAAACUACAUUAACUUGUUGAAAAUGUUUUUCCAACACCUUAUAACUAUUAAUACCUUGACUAAGAAAUUUGUUUGGAGAUAUUACUGCACAUUCAUGUUGCAUUUUUAAUAACCCUGCCGAGGAAAGACAAUAUUGGCUGGUUUAUACAGACUCAAGUGAGUCGAUAAGUGGGUAACAGAUGCAUGUGACAUGUUGGAAAACCACUUACAGAACAAUAGCCAAAGGUCACUCCUUGUCAUAUCUGCAGCGUGUGGCAGAACUGCAGAGCCUAAACUCCCUCUCCUGCUCUUCCAGACAGGAGAAAUGUGAACUCCUCUUCAUAGGGCCAUGCAUAAAUGGAUUGCCUUCAGAAGAGGAAGACUUGGUGGCAGGAGCUGGUUACUAUGGCUAUAUGCAUUGCUCACUCUAAAUGGAGGAAUCAAGCCAGUAAUCACUGUAUACAUUAGCUAUAUUUGUAUAUGAGGGAAGCUCAUUGCCAGCAGCUGUGUGAAGGUGUCAUGAUGAAAAUCCAACUUGGCUCAUGCCAGUCAAGGCUUGGUGUCUUUCAGGCCUUUAAAUCGGUGCAGACUGAAAGCAGCAAAAUCUACACACGGUAGGAUCAGUGCAUUGUCCUCCUGAAGCCUUUGUUUUGCUCUACAGAAAGGUUUCUUCUUUUCUGUGCCCCUAGUGAUCACAGACCAGCCCAGGUAGGAAGGGACCCGGAAAGAUCAUCUGGUCCACCCUUUCAUGGGAAAGGGAGCCUAGGUGGGAUUGUAUUCCUCCUGCUCCAAUCACAUCCUACAACUUUCCAGCAAUGGGCUUUCUCCUCUGUCCCUGGAGAGGUUGUUCCACUGGGGUGGAAAUGCCAUGUCAUGAUGCUGGCUUGGAAAUUAUGGAGGUGCUAGCAAGCCUGGGCUCUGGGGUACAGAAUAUGGCAAAAACAACUCCUGUGUUGGCUUCAUAAUCCAGCCUGCAGCCAGCUACUGACUUGUUGGGCUGUCAUCAGAGCCACUUCCCCAUCGUCAAAUGACAUAAGAAAUCAUCAGUGAAGACAAAAGUAGCUGUGGGUGGUGAGACAUCUAUAGCACAACCACAGCCUUAUUUUGGUUGCUUACAAAUUUAAAGUCCUUUGCCUUUCCUUUUUGAAGCUAUCCACUGAGGCUAGAGUUCUGUGGGGUACCUAACAAAUUUUGUUGCAGGGUGGCUGUUGGUGGCUGUCAGAGGGGGCCAUUGGUUUCCCCCUUUUUCCAGGGCUGCAGGAACAGGUAAAAUUCCUACUUUUAAAUCCAAGUGAGUGUGACAGAAAUGACCCCUGUGGUGAGAAGCCUGUGUCCCCAUGGAGAAGGGUGGGACUUGCUCCGAGGGCACCAUCACAUUCUUACAGCCCUAUUGCCUGGCAUUUCUCCUGGUCCAACAGCAUGAGCAUGAACACACUGCCUGGUCCUUCUUUGAAGGAGUUAUUAUUAAGAUCUCACUCUCCUCUCUAGAAGCAAGGCACAGCCACUAGACCUGCAGAAAGGCAUCUGGAAAGGAUUGGCUGCUGCUGGGGAUCCAGUGUGACUCUGAAGAAAGUUGUGCCUGUAGCAUCACUGGAAAUCUCAGCUGCUGCUCACUGUUGUGAUAGAAUUGUUUGUCCUCCUCAAAGGCAGUGCCUGGCUGCUCUCAGGGAUGGUGUCUCCAUGUGUUUUGGUCUAGAACAUAAAUGCUGAAAAACUCGAGCAGCCUCCUUCCUGCAGUGUUUUCCUGCUAUUCAGCAUCAUCCCAAUCACAUUGGGUUUAUUCCGUCAGCACUUGCAAAGUUAAUAAAGUAUCCCCAUGACAAUUGUUUCACCAAUUAAA